rnacentral:tRNA from 1 species
GCAAGUGUGGUUCAGUGGUGGAGCGCUUGCCUGGCAUGCAUGAGCCCUGGGUUUGAUUCCCAGCACCA